rnacentral:rRNA from 1 species
UACGUAGGAGGCGAGCGUUGUCCGGAGUUACUGGGCGUAAAGCGCACGCAGGCGGUCAGAUCAGUCUGGAGUGACAGUCUCGGCUUAACCGACGAAGUGUUCUGGAAACUGUCUGACUUGAGGGCUUCAGAGGGACACGGAAUUCCGGGUGGAGUGGUGAAAUGCGUAGAUAUCCGGAGGAACACCAAUGCGAAGGCAGUGUCCUGGGAAGUACCUGACGCU